rnacentral:rRNA from 1 species
CUUGGUCAUUUAGAGGAAGUAAAAGUCGUAACAAGGUUUCCGUAGGUGAACCUGCGGAAGGAUCAUUAUUGAAUUUUUAAAGGAGUUGUUUGCUGGCCCUUGGGCAUGUGCACACUUCUUUUAAAUCCUUCAAACUCUUUAUACCCCUGUGCACCUUUUGUAGAGUUGUGGCUGAAAGGCUGCAUUCUAUGUUUAUCAUAAACUCUUUAGUAUGUGUAGAAUGUUUUAAUGCGUAUAAUGCAUCUUUAUACAACUUUCAGCAACGGAUCUCUUGGCUCUCGCAUCGAUGAAGAACGCAGCGAAAUGCGAUAAGUAAUGUGAAUUGCAGAAUUCAGUGAAUCAUCGAAUCUUUGAACGCACCUUGCGCUCCUUGGUAUUCUGAGGAGCAUGCCUGUUUGAGUGUUAUGGAAUUAUCAACUUUUAUUUUUUUCUUUGCUGAAAGAAUUAAGAGCUUGGACUUGGAGGCUUUAUUGCUGGCCUUUCUUUGGAAGGUCAGCUCCUCUUGAAUGUAUUAGCUUGAACCUAUGCUGUAUCAGCUGUCCGGUGUGAUAAUUGUCUACGCCGUGGGCUGUAUAAGGCUUUAAAUUGUUAGGCUCAGCUUCUAAUAGUCCCUUGGGGGACAAUAUCUUCAUUGACCUUUAACCUCAAAUCAGGUAGGAUUACCCGCUGAACUUAAGCAUAUCAAUAAGCGGAGG